CGGGAGAAGCUAUAGCGCUAUAUG
rnacentral:miRNA from 1 species